UGGAGGACACCGGGCGCUUCCCUUGUUGUGUUGCACUUAUAGUGUGGUGAGUGAGACUUGCAAUUAAUAAGCUUUUCACGUUUGGAGUGGUGCUGUGUAUUUGCUGUGGGUUGCUGUGUGUCUUAUUAGACGAAGCCCCGCAUCAUCCAUUUCUUCUACUGGGCAGAGGACGGAGAGGCUAACGACCUCCGAAAUUACUGUUACCAUACGUAGUGUGCUGUUUCGGAGUACGAAGGAACGCAGACCAAGAGCUGUCAGUGACUGUGAGUAGAACAUUGGAAAUAUUCGUGGUGUAAACUUACCUGUGUCUGUUUUGUCGCAGAGUCAGAGGCGAAAGGGUCCGCCGCCCCCGCGGUCUCUACAAAGGGGCGCCCCUGUCCAGGAUUCGAUCGGCCUACGGGCAGUGGAGAUAGGGCAGCGCUCGACCCGGUGAGGUGGUGUGUGACCUUCGCCCCUCUGCUGACCUACGGAGGAAACCAUACCUACCCAGAAAGCUGUAAACAGCAGAGCCGCGGCCACCUGUGGAGAGAGAGAAGAACGAGAGUGAAUAAUUGAAGAACAGACCGUGAACGUGAUACCUACCCAGAAAGCUGUAAACAGCAGAGCCGGUGAGAAAUACUCGAAGUCUCAGUAACAGUGUCUUUGUGUCCUAGCGGCCACCUGUGGAGAGAGAGAAGGACGAGAGUGAAUAAUUGGAGAGCAGACUGUGAACGUGAUACCUACCCAGAGAGCUGUAAGCAGCAGAGCCGGUGAGAAAUACUCGAAGUCCAAGUAACAGUGUCUUUGUGUCUUAGUGGCCGCCUGUGGAGAGAAAGGAAAACGAGAAUGAACAUGAGGAGAGUGGACUGUGUGAAGAUACAGUUGGUGGUGGAGGAGAGCCUAGAGUGGCCAUUAUUUUAAGUCCCCCGUUUUCCCUUCCCUAUAUAUCUUUUUAAGUAAAUUAAAUAAAGUACCUUUUUAAUAUUAUGCUUACCUUGUGUGUCUGGUCAUUGGGGUGGCUUUGGGAAUCUCCUCGAGGUGGAGAAAGGGGCGUGACCUUAUUUACAUCUGGGUCCACCCCUACCUGUGACAGAUUUGGCGUAGUCGGCAGGGCACCUCGGGUUGAGACCAAGGUCCCCCAAUGGCCUACCACGUUUUUUUUAAAGAAAAGCUCCCAUCAACACCCUAUCAGUCCCUAAACAACGCGUUCUCGGGACGAGAACGGAUUGGCGGGGGAGGAUGUCACAAGGUGACGAUCUUUUGGGCGGAACCAAAAGUCGGGAAACUUUGGUUCCGCCCGGAUGUUUCCGCCCAGACCGAAGAACGGAAACACCGGACAUCCGGCAGCUUCGCGAAGGCUGUAAUCAGCCGAUUGAGCACAGCUGUGCCUAGUUAAAGAGAUCGCCGGGCAAUUGGACAACUGGAGUACAUGAAGGAGUAUUUAAAGCACAGUUAAAUCACAGUUCGGGGGUUCGGGCACGAGAGGGGGAUUGACACGGGGAAAGCUCCUCUGCUUAAUGCAGAAAAAGAACUACGUACCUUUUGAAGAGCCCGCAGGCUCUGUUGAUCCGGGCUGCGCUUGGAGCGCGCGGAAAGAAGACAGGAGCUGCCUGGGGUGAAAGAAAGGCGAUACGUGGGUGGAGAAAAGGAGCACCCCGAAGAGAGCAUUGUGCUGACAGUUCGUAGUGUGUGCUGAGGAACGGAGCUGUGCUCAUUGUUAGACGUGGUGGCUGUCUGUAUUUCUCUCUCUCUCCCUCUCUCGUUGUAGUUUACGGUGGACCUGCUGGAGUAAACGGAAGAUCCUAUGGGUAAAAAGGAACUUUGGUCUAACCAGUACUUUUGAAGGAGUAAAGCAGGAAGAAAAUUGAUCUUGUUGUACAACGUAAACAGAGGCUAUUUGCUGUGAGUAUACCCUUUUGGUGUGGAGUAACUUGCAAAAAUUAACCUGUGAACCGUUGGAAACCUCCAGGAGAAGGAGGGCGGCCCUACCCCUACAAUAGUGUGGUGGGCGAGCCGUUAGAAGGUAAAUCCAAACAGCCACAGCAACGAGACUUAUUUUGGUCGUAUUUCCCAUCGCCCCUAUCUCAGCCCAAGUGCAGUGGAGGACACCGGGCGCUUCCCUUGUUGUGUUGCACUUAUAGUGUGGUGAGUGAGACUUGCAAUUAAUAAGCUUUUCACGUUUGGAGUGGUGCUGUGUAUUUGCUGUGGGUUGCUGUGUGUCUUAUUAGACGAAGCCCCGCAUCAUCCAUUUCUUCUACUGGGCAGAGGACGGAGAGGCUAACGACCUCCGAAAUUACUGUUACCAUACGUAGUGUGCUGUUUCGGAGUACGAAGGAACGCAGACCAAGAGCUGUCAGUGACUGUGAGUAGAACAUUGGAAAUAUUCGUGGUGUAAACUUACCUGUGUCUGUUUUGUCGCAGAGUCAGAGGCGAAAGGGUCCGCCGCCCCCGCGGUCUCUACAAAGGGGCGCCCCUGUCCAGGAUUCGAUCGGCCUACGGGCAGUGGAGAUAGGGCAGCGCUCGACCCGGUGAGGUGGUGUGUGACCUUCGCCCCUCUGCUGACCUACGGAGGAAACCAUACCUACCCAGAAAGCUGUAAACAGCAGAGCCGCGGCCACCUGUGGAGAGAGAGAAGAACGAGAGUGAAUAAUUGAAGAACAGACCGUGAACGUGAUACCUACCCAGAAAGCUGUAAACAGCAGAGCCGGUGAGAAAUACUCGAAGUCUCAGUAACAGUGUCUUUGUGUCCUAGCGGCCACCUGUGGAGAGAGAGAAGGACGAGAGUGAAUAAUUGGAGAGCAGACUGUGAACGUGAUACCUACCCAGAGAGCUGUAAGCAGCAGAGCCGGUGAGAAAUACUCGAAGUCCAAGUAACAGUGUCUUUGUGUCUUAGUGGCCGCCUGUGGAGAGAAAGGAAAACGAGAAUGAACAUGAGGAGAGUGGACUGUGUGAAGAUACAGUUGGUGGUGGAGGAGAGCCUAGAGUGGCCAUUAUUUUAAGUCCCCCGUUUUCCCUUCCCUAUAUAUCUUUUUAAGUAAAUUAAAUAAAGUACCUUUUUAAUAUUAUGCUUACCUUGUGUGUCUGGUCAUUGGGGUGGCUUUGGGAAUCUCCUCGAGGUGGAGAAAGGGGCGUGACCUUAUUUACA